AGACCAUGGUGUGGACACUUUCUCUAUAGAUCCUUAUUUAUUUCCCAUGCUUCAUACAAAGACUCACCAUUAAAUUGAACAAAGCUAAUAAUAUCAUUUCAAAGUUU
rnacentral:snoRNA from 1 species